rnacentral:lncRNA from 1 species
UUUGUUCCUGGUCUCUUUUCCUCUCUCCAAAACUAGGGUUUUAGCAUAUUUUAAAAGUCAUCUCUUCAUGGGUAAAACUAGUCAGGGGCAUGUGUUCAGCACUAGAAGGACAAUAGUUCAGGGUGUAAAGGAAAUCAAUGAAGACUCCUCAUGAGGAACUAGACAAACAAAUCGUCUCAUCAAACGAGAUUCAAGUGAUCUGAAGAUGUCUUCGAAACAACCCAUAAAGAAGAAGGGAGAAUCUUCACGAUCAAAGAAACAAUUCGCCGAACUCAUCACCAUACCCGAUUCUACCCCCUUUGAUUCUCUGAUUUUGUCAAUUCCACAAUCACAUAGUAAUCCCUUAACCUUUAGGCCUUCUAAAUAAGCAAAUCGAUUCCAAGAUCUCGUGAUGAACAAAAAAUUAUUUUUGGUAAGUUUGUUGACCCUGUUCUAUUUCACCAAAUUGGGGUUAUUACUUUAUUUGAGAAUGUUAGUUUAUCUUCUAUGUUAUCUCCACCCAAAUCUGCAUAUCAUGCCUUAAUCAAGCAUUUUUUUUGGAAUAUGUUAGUUAAAUCAGAUAUAAUAAAUAUCUUUGUUCAAAACAAAACCCACAUCAUUGACUCUACUUUAUUGGGUUCCAUAUUUUAUAUCCCUUGCUCUGAUCUCUAUCCCUUUAUUCUCAAGGGUCCUAUAGAGUUUGAAAACAUAAUAGUCAUUGAACAAUUAAAGAUUGUGAAAGAUUACUCUUCUGUUGAAUUUAUUGGUUUACCAACUGUUGUCGAAACUAAACAAUGUUGUUCAUAAGGUCAUUCGUGCUAUAUAGUACCUAAAACUGGGGGUAGGUCCAACAUGGCUUAUCAAUAUUUGAUUCUCUUGGCCUUAAUUUUAUCUUGUACUAAGUUUAAUUUUGCUUUGCCUAUGAUUAAGCAUAUGGAAAGCUGUUUAGCAAACAAAACAAAACAUUUUUCUUAUGGGGGUUUCAUAGCAAAAAUUCUAGUACACUUUGGAAUCUCUUUUGUAAAUGAAGAGGUAGUGCAAUUAUCUAAGGAUAUUGAUUAAUAUGUAUUUUUGAAGUUCUAAAUAAAGGUUAAUCUUGAUGGAAUCUUAUCUUGGGUUGUUAAGAGCUUUCACACUCAGGGUUCUGUUCCUCUUAUACUUUUAAAUCUCUAAAUACUUCUCCUAAUCAUCAUUUUGUUUUACUAGAACCAUCUGUUCUUGUACCCCUCCUAAUUCUCAAUUCUCUGCUCUUCAUUAAUUGGGACAAGAUAUGGGGGAAGGUUCAAGCAUUAGGAGAAAGAGUUGAUACUAUUUCAGAAAGGGUAAAAAUUUUGGUGUCUCAUCAUAAUUCCUAUGUGGUCAAAUUAUAAGACUUUAACAAGAAGCUUGAUGAAACUCUUUUUGAACCUACUACUGAUGAAGCUGCAUAACUGAAUCAUUUUUUUAUAAUGACAAAGGGGGAGAUAAUGGUAAAAAAAGGGUUUUUGGAUUUUAUAAACUGAUUGGGUUUUAUGAUUGAAUAGAACUGUUUCUUAAUUUCUUUUUGUGAAUUGAUGUUUAAGUAUUGAUGUUUAAGUACGUAUUGUGAUACAUUAUGAUUACGGUUCGGUUCUUUUGGAAUCAAUUAGAUUUGAUGGUAAAUUAAUUAUGCAAAUGAUUGACUGUGAUAUAUUGUUUUAUGCACAUGAUUUAGUUAUACGUACCUUUUGAAAUAUUGUGUAUAUAAUCUUAGGGGGAGUUAUAUAUGGUUUCUGUUGAAGAUUAUGCUCAGUUUGAUUGCUUAUAUUAUUGCUUCAUUAUAUGCAUAAUCUUAGGGGGAGUGAUAUAUUUUCAUCAUCAUAAAGGGGGAAAAUGUUAUUUUUUGAGUUUUUAAUUUUAAUGAUAACAAUAUGUGUUAUAUGGAGCUAAUGUGUAUGAGCGGGGUUUUGAGCUAUUUGGAUCAUAUUUGGUGUUUUUGAAAUUAAAGUUGAUUCCAUAAAGGCUCAUCUGGGGGUUACAAUUUGUUUAGAGGUCUCAGUUCUUAAGAAUUAUUGUAAGUCUUUCUAGCCAAAGUAUUUUAAUUCCAAGGCUUUAAUUGGUUGUUGGAAAGUUUGUUUUAAAUUAAAACUAGUCAAAUGUUUCUCUAUCCUAAAAUCAAGGGAUCUGAACAGUAUAUGUUUUGAAUAAGUCUAUAUCAUCAUAUUCAUUCCAUAUCUUUUUGAUUUGGUUUCCUUUAAUUAAGUUCUUUUCAAAAGACUUAGUUUGAAUAUCUUUAUAUUUUAAAAGAACCUUUUGGAUAAAAAUCCUCAUAUAUUCGUUACUCAUAAAUGUAUGUCGAAAUUGGGUUUUGUUUGAACUAAAAUUGUGGGAUCCAUUCUAACAAAACUCUCUAGCCAUUAAAACUUUGUCUAUAUAUUUCUUUCUUCUCGGCUAUUAAAAGGCAGAGCUCUUAUUUUGAUAUACUUAGUCCAGUAGAAAAAGCUUUCAAGUCUUAUAUUUUCUUAUAUUAAAGGGCUUUCAAAGAUAUACUUUCAGCAAUCAAGUUAUGCUUUGUUAUUAAUUUCUUUUAGCUGGAUAGUCAUAGCUGCUUUGUAAUUUAUUCUCUUCUUAUCAAACCUAGAAUUCAAGGUUUGUGUAGCUUGAUUGUUCCUAUAGUGGAUAUAGUUGUUCAAAGGAAGCUUUUAAAGGUCUCAUUGGUGAGAAAGUUGUAGAGGUGCAAAGGUUGCAGAGGUGCAAGGGGGCAAUGGUGUUAAACAUUAAACUAAAGCUUCUUUGAACAAAGAGUUUUUCUUUGUAAUUAAUUGAGUAUUAAAUUUAAAUAAAAAAGCCUCCAAUACCAAAUAGUAUUUGAUGUGGAUUAGGCCACUAGAUUAGAGGAUAAGGGUUGAACCACGAAAAAAUCUUGGUCUGAUUUAUUAUUUUGUAUUUUCUUACUUUGUAUUUUAAUUUCUUGAUAUAUUGCUUUGCUACUCGCUUGAAGAUAUACUAAUUCAAACACAUAAGCAGACAGGGUAUCCUGUCUGAUUGUAACUGACGAAUAACAUAAGCUAAAGCAGACAUGCAUACUUGUCUGUUUUAAACCUGUUGUAGAAAAAAUCAAUAAGUUUUCAUUGUUUAUCACUUUUUACUUAGACAUCUAUUCACUCUCUUUAAGUGUGUUUAUAUAAUGAAGGUGAAACCAAACUUGACAUAUUUUGAGAGCUGUUAUUUACACUCUUAAAUUAACCUCACUUUCACUUCACGAAUUUAAAUAAUUAGCACAGUAGUAAGCAAGGAUCAAUUCCACAGAGAGUGAUUUGUUUUAUAUUUAUUCUAAUGUUUCCAACUAUAAAUAGAAAGUAAAGAUUUGGGGGUUUUUGAAUCAAUUAUAUUUAACUAAAUAAAAUAGAUUUAUUUAAAAUUUCAGUUCUUCAGUUCAGUAUCACAUUUUCACAGUAAUGGAUUAAUCAAGUGUGACAUUAUUUACCCUUCAAUGAAACUAAUAGCCAUAGGUAACAACAAGCUCUGCUACUCGAAACUCCCUUUAGAUUAUGACACAAUGAAACAAGUUAUUCACAAGAUUCUAACUAUUAUACAACCUAGAACAAGCUCUCUAGAUUUAAUAUAACAACAUUAAAAACUAGGGAAUUAGACUAUUCCAAGCAACAAUGACACAAACUCAGAUUGUUUAACCCGUCUUCUGAUAAUCAUAGAAACACUAAAAUGCUUUUCUACAAUCAGGUAUUACUAAUUACUACUUGUGAUUAGGAACAAUAACAAUUAUACGUAAUAUUAUUCUUUAAUCUAGCAUAUGAUAUUAGGUGUCCAACAUUAAACUAAAGCUUCUUUGAACAAAGAGUUUUUCUUUGUAAUUAAUUGAGUAUUAAAUUUAAAUAAAAAAAGCCUCCAAUACCAAAUGGUAUUUGAUGUGGAUUAGGCCACUAGAUUAGAGGAUAAGGGCUGAACCACGUAAAAAUCUUGGCCUGAUUUACUAUUUUGUAUUUUCUUACUUUGCGUUUUAAUUUCUUGAUAUAUUGCUCUGCUACUCGCUUGAAGAUAUACUAAUUCAAACACAUAAGCAGACAGGGUAUCCUGUCUGAUUGUAACUGACGAAUAACAUAAGCUAAAGCAGACAUGCAUACUUGUCUGUUUUAAACCUGUUGUAGAAAAAAUCAAUAAGUUUUCAUUGUUUAUCACUUUUAACUUAGACAUCUAUUCACUCUCUUUAAGUGUGUUUAUAUAAUGAAGGUGAAACCAAACUUGACAUAUUUUGGGAGCUGUUAUUUACACUCUUAAAUUAACCUCACUUUCACUUCACGAAUUUAAAUAAUUAGCACAGUAGUAAGCAAGGAUCAAUCCCACAGAGAGUGAUUUGUUUUAUAUUUAUUCUAAUGUUUCCAACUAUAAAUAGAAAGUAAAGAUUUGGGGGUUUUUGAAUCAAUUAUAUUUAACUAAAUAAAAUAGAUUUAUUUAAAAUUUCAGUUCUUCAGUUCAGUAUCACAUUUUCACAAUAAUGGAUUAAUCAAGUGUGACAUUAUUUAUCCUUCAAUGAAACUAAUAUCCCUAGGUAACAAGCUCUGCUACUCGAAACUCCCUUUAGAUUAUGACACAAUGAAACAAGUUAUUCACAAGAUUCUAACUAUUAUACAACCUAGAACAAGCUCUCUAGAUUUAAUAUAACAACAUUAAAAACUAGGGAAUUAGACUAUUCCAAGCAACAAUGACACAAACUCAGAUUGUUUAACCCGUCUUCUGAUAAUCAUAGAAACACUAAAAAGCUUUUCUACAAUCAAGUAUUACUAAUUACUACUUGUGAUUAGGAACAAUAACAAUUAC